rnacentral:rRNA from 1 species
UACAGAGGUGGCAAGCGUUGUUCGGAAUUACUGGGCGUAAAGGGCGCGUAGGCGGCCUUCUAAGUCAGACGUGAAAUCCCCCGGCUUAAUCUGGGAACUGCGUCUGAUACUGGAGGGCUUGAGUGCGGGAGAGGGAUGUGGAAUUCCAGGUGUAGCGGUGAAAUGCGUAGAUAUCUGGAGGAACACCGGUGGCGAAGGCGGCAUCCUGGACCGACACUGACGCUGAGGCGCGAAAGCUAGGGUAGCAAACGGG